rnacentral:tRNA from 1 species
AGACACCCACGAAGAUCCCCAAUAUAGAUAAAGAGAAAUCGGCAUUAUUCAUUAAGCUGAAAAAGUAACUGGCAAUU